CCAUACUAGUAUUGAUGAUCUUGAAGAAAAUAGAAGAUUGUUAUUGAGAUAGUGCUGAGCCAAACUCAUCUGCUAUAUCCUUUGCCUUAUUUUGCAGUUUUACUCGAAGGGAUCCUCAUCAGAAGUGUGGUAUGUGAAUGGCACUGACUGUCAAGUGGACAGUUGGAGUGCGGGCAGCUGCUCCCCGGACACUCAGGUGAAAAUGAAUUAACAAUUGGUAGCCUGGGAAAAUGUGCAUCUUGAGCAAAUGUGCUCUCAAGUCAAUGAAAGAAGAAAACAGAAAUGGAUCCUGAUUCUUUCAGUACCGUAAAUAUUAGCAGAGUAUUAUGUGUGUAGACUAAGAAAGUAUGACACUUCCACAGACACUGCCGGAGGGAGACAGGAAAGAACAGCAGACUCAACAGACUUACUGUUACAUAUUGAACUAUUUUUUUCAUAUGUUAAAAAUGUUUUUCAAAGGAGCUCAAGGAGAUAUUUCCAUGCAAAGUACCUGUAAUGAAAGUGUUUUGGGAAAUGGUGCCAUAAAAACAGAACCAGUAGCAAUAGGAUUUCUACUUCUUGCUUUGAUAUGCAGGCAGGAACUGUUCUGGGUUUGUGAGACACAGUUGAGAAGAAGACAGACUUGAGCACGGGCAGCGGUGGUUGCCAUGAAGAUGUGUGAGAAGACAGGCCUGCCUGAAAAUGCUGCUGGUCCUGGUAUUUCUCCACCUUCACGGGACCCUCCAAACCAGUGCCCACUGCUUUUCUCAGUCGGUCAUCCCCCUCUGUUCUCACUUCCCUUCUUGUCCAGCUUAGACACCAUAAUUCAUCACUCCAGUGGUCUGCAAACUAGGUGCCCAUCAGGUACAGGAAGACUUCCCAAGGGAGGACUUCCUUGCAAAGAGAGUUUUAAGGAAACUCUCAAUCAUAUAGAUUCUUUUUCUUAAGUAGGUCCACCUGAGAACUCACAGGUGUGUACGGAGCCCCUUCACCUACUCUACAUGAGAAAGACACAUACCUCACCCAUCCCGAAUCUUACUAUCGUGUAUGCAACUGGGCCGUAAAACCUUCAGAGUGCCAAAUAAAGUGAUGUGCCAAAGUAUUAGUUUUAGGAAAAUGUUCUUAAUGAUUAAUUGAAACACUUAGGACUUUCCUGGUUUUCCUGUCUUCUAUGUAUUUGGUCCUAUAAACAGUGUGUAUCUUUCCCAUGUUGGAAUGUUCUGGAGUCAGAUACGGGAUAGAAUGAUAUGGAAAGAAUAAUAAUCUUUUUUGUUUAAUUACUUUGACUCUUUUAUCUUUGGUCUGUUACCAAGGAAACUACUGCUCUGAAAGUAGAGUCCUGUGAAGGCAAAGCAAAGAAGAUAUCAUCAGAAAAUGCUGAGAAUUAAAAACAACAUGUUAAAAAACGUACCUGAACAAUUUUUGUUUUACUUUAUUUAUUCAAGAUACUUAU